rnacentral:lncRNA from 1 species
UGUCAGACCAGCUGGAACUCCCAAAGCAAACAAGAAAUGAGGAUUCCUUGCGGACUCUUAACAGUCCCAUAACAUUUUUCUUGCCUUUUUUGGUUUUCAAAUAAUAUACAACAUUUUUUACUGCCAAUAAAGUUUACUGGAAUUUUCAUGGCUAACGGUCACACAUGGUGGAAGUGGGAGCCAGGGAUUAAAGCGGACAGGAUGCUAUUUUCAUGCUGCUUCUGAAAGGAAUGGCUUCUCUUCCAGCAGAGGAAGGAGCUGCGGCUGCACGGUGCCAUGCAACAGCGAGCUGCCUGCCAGCUUCCUGUCCAGACCAGGGGUCAGCAGCUCCCUGAAGGACGUGCCCGGCUGCUGAGCUGCAGUGGCCACAUGAGAGCAGCAGCAGCAGCACAGCCCUGCUCCACCAGCCUGGGUGCACAGGAGCUCCCUGACCUCAGGCCUAGCACACAGCAGGUUCCCAAAGUCAGCAUGCGUGACUCUGAAAGGUCCCACCCCGGCCAGAGUGAGGCAGCAAAGCUUCCAGAAGCCAAAGCAGCUGAAAUGAAAAAACGUUCUGUAUUCCACCACUUCAGCUUUGUACAGAGCUUCAUGCUGAAAAAAAAAUAGUGCUGG